rnacentral:lncRNA from 1 species
CCCGAUGGUGGAACCAACUUGGGAUCUUUAUUCCAGGAUGCUCAACAGUAAACAUUCUUAGUGAUAACGAAUGUGAAUCAGAUAUAUCAUGCUGCAAUGAUGAGAUAUUCUGAAACAGUGAAUUACAGAUUGAAGCAUUGCUCCAAUCUGCAUCUAUUGUGUCUAAUUGCUGUGGAAAUUCUGGCAGCUGUGUAAGCCUCUUGCAAUCUGAUAAGUUCAAGGAUCGAAGAGCACCAAGUUCGGAUAUGCUUUGAGGCAAAUGAUCAAAAUUAUUUCCCUUGAGAUACAACUUUUUCAAAGAGGAUAAACAUCCAAUGUCUUCUGGCAGCUGUGUAAGUCUCUUGCAAUCUGAUAAGUUCAAGGAUCGAAGAGCACCGAGUUCGAAUAUGCUACGAGGAAAAUGCUCAAAAUUAUUUCCACUGAGAUUCAAGUGUUUCAAAGAGGAUAAGGAUUCAAUGUCUUCCGGAAUUAUUAGAUUGCAGUAACUGAGAUCCAGUUCUUGCAAUGAGCAUAACCCUUCACUCACUGGAGGGAACACGAAGUUCACUCUAUCUUCUGAUUUAUAUUUUUUAAAAGUCAAUGAUUUAAGUUUGUUCAACCAGACGAUGGAAGACGGAGGUCGUGAGAUUAGAGUAUAACUGGCAUCAAGAUACUCCAAGUUUUCUAAAUCACCUAUCUCUUCUGGCAAGCUUUCAAGUUUUGAGCACUUUGACACAUGUAGCUUCACCAAACCUUUCAACUUACAAAUGCUGCUUGGAAGAGAUAAAAGGUUUUCCAUGCCAUUCAAAUGUAGCAGUGUAAGAUGAGGUUGGAGAUCAAAGAAAGAUAAUGGCAGUUCCCUUAUCCCAGAGCAUGACAUAUUAAUCUCUAACUCCGGCUUCAUUAUUCCAAGGAUUUCUGGAAAUUUCUCUAAACUAGAGCAGAAUUUUAGGUCCAAAGAUUCAAGAG